UACGGAGGGUGCAAGCGUUAAUCGGAAUUACUGGGCGUAAAGCGUGCGCAGGCGGUUUGUUAAGUCCGCUGUGAAAUCCCCGAGCUCAACUUGGAAAUUGCAGUGGAUACUGGCAAGCUGGAGUAUGGUAGAGGAAGGUGGAAUUCCCGGUGUAGCAGUGAAAUGCGUAGAGAUCGGGAGGAACACCAGUGGCGAAGGCGGCCUUCUGGACCAAUACUGACGCUCAUGCACGAAAGCGUGGGGAGCAAACAGG
rnacentral:rRNA from 1 species